UCCAUGAAAGGAGUUAGUUGUCGAUUGCAAUUAUCAAUUAUGGCUUUCCAAUCGAGCAGCGUAGAAUAAUCUUCUUCAUGAACUUGCAACUUUCUUCCAUGGACACUCUCCAAAUUCCAAUUCCAUCUUUCCACUCGGAGCAUGAAUUGCCGCUGUAAAUGUGGAUUAUCCGCUGAAGAUGAUUUCAAAUUUGUGCUUCAUGAUGCGCUUGAUUCUUCCGGCAUCGAUACGUCUCACGCGCCAGGGCUGCAAGGGUAGGCUUUUGCUCGCAGAUAAAAGACGUCUCUGACAUUGAGAGAGGAACAAGUAUCGCUAUUAAUAGAGGGGUUGAUUUAGCCAGAGCAGCUCUUCAUAUAGCAGCUGAAGAUGACUCCCUCAUCUCACACUCUUCUGUUCCAUUGCCAGUUGAUGAUUUCAUUGAGAGAUUAGAUACCCUCUCUAUCGGAUUUUGCUCACCAGACAAUUUUCUUGACUGUUUAGAAUGAUAACUAUACCUCUGUUUCCAUGCUCUCCCUUAUAUACUCAGAGAUUCUACAGAUUCUUCGCAUGUUUGGUGUUCUGAAUUUUGAUGUUGAAAUCUUCUUUCCCCGUGAUUCACAUAGUUCUCCCAGAGGGUAUCUAAAACAAAAGAUCAAAGAACCUGAUCAAUCACAUAUUAUGACAUCACAAUCUUUACUAGUGGAGGUGAUAAUUUUGUUAAUUGCUGUCUAGUUAAAUAUGGACCAUAUGAUCCUUUACGGAAGGUCAGUUGUGGGCAUCCUUCUGAACUUGUCCUGCAUGAUCUUUGACUAGACUGUGUUUGAUGGUUGUGUUUGCUCCUUUUAUAUCUUGGUAUUUGAAAUCACAUUGGAGAACCUCCUAGUCAGACCAAGUAUGUAGGAGCCCCUGAGUAAAUAUUACAAUUAAUGUGUUUGUAGGCGUCCAACAUUGUACUCCAUUAGUUAUGCUUCCAUUUCACCUAGCUAUGCCAGAAUCCAGAUGUCAUUUUUAUUAUUUUGCUAUGAAAAGAGCAAGCCUCACAUGUUGAACUUUAAAUCAAAUCUAAGAUAUAUUCACUGGGUAAAUAACCUUAUAAUUUUGCAUCUAAGACUCCAAGAAUUCUGUUUAUCCUUUUACAUCUUUUAACACAGAUUUAAUAAAGUGAGUCGGCAACCAGUUUAUUUAUCAUCAAAUUUAAUGAUAUGUGCUAAGGGAAAGAACAAUUCCUUAAUAUACUCUUGAGAUCUUGGAAUUAAAGGGUUGGUGGUAACCUAAUGUUGUUCCCAUUUUGUGCAGAUACUGAAAGAUUUAAAGAAUGCUUUCUGGCCAUUUCAACUUGAUCAUGCUAGGAGUUCAUUCCUAAGGGCCGCAGAAGCCACUGGUGCCAACAAUGCUAAUGAAGGGUAGUAUAUUAUGUUUGGUUCAUGAGAUUGAAUCUCACGACUUAAUCAUAGAUGAAUAAUUAUAUGAUAAUGAGUCUAGACACUCUCCCUACAACUAAAAGUAGCUUGUGCAUACCUUGUGUUGGUGAAAGUAGCUUUCCAGAGGUGCCCUUAUUUCAUUAUCAUUUUAACAAUUUAUGCCUUGUAACAGCAUGUGAACGCCUUAUUUUACUCAAGCAUAAUCCUAAGGAACUAAGAGACUAUGCCGUACUCCUCUACCAUUGUGGAUAUUACGAGGAAGCACUGUUCCUUAAGCAUUACCAGAACACAAAGCAACAAACUGGUUCAGACACCAAUGUCGAGGAAGAAGCCGUAAAGAAACUAGUAGUACGGUUGAACCUGAUUUUGAUGGGGGUUGGUUGGUCAAAACAACAGGAGCACAGAAAUAUCCUUUUCAAAAACUUUGAACCAUGCUUAUUUUGUGUAGUGGCCUUGGACCAAAAGAAUUGGUACAAAAAUGGUAGCUAUAAAUACAACAAGAUGGAUC